CUCCCCUCCCCCCUGCGGAGAAACACUCUUCCUCAGGCCGGAGCUGACCUGCAAAGCCUUCGCGGUGCUCCCGGUGCUCCUGGUGCUGGGGAUCGGGAUGCCAGGCCCGGCCGAGUGGGACUGGAGCCGGGGCAUUUAGAACAGAGAAAACUAAGUCGGGGACCUCCCAGAAAUCUGGAAACUGGAAGCGAGGAACAGGCACAUGUGUAGAAAGCAGUGCUGGUUUAAGAAGCAAGGCAGACCCAGGCGUGGUUGCUCAUGAGAAAUCCUCGCACUUGUGAGGCAGAGGCAGGUAGAUCUGUAGUGCAGAAAAAAGAGACUGUGGUUGGUUUUUAGCUACUUUCUGUCAGGGAAGAAGAAAGUACAGUCCAGUCACUUCACUAACCGGGAGGAAACAAGCUAACUCUUGCAGGCCUUUGCAACUUAAGAGCUCAGUACGGUUGUCCUUGGUCUGUUUGUUGUUACUGAUUGGUUGAGACAGGAUCUCUAACUCUGGCUAGCCAGGAACUCAUGAUAUAGGCCUGGCUGACCUUGAACUUGUCAUGAUCCUAUAGCUUCUGUCUCCAUUUUGGUCCUUAAACACUUCCUUGCCCUUCGGUGGAUACCUUAUAAUCCUCAGCUAUAUGCACUGUAUUAACUGGCCUGGAUGCGCACACAGGGGAAUUCAGAGGUAUCUUUGGACACUUUGUAUAUUUUAUUAAUAUUGCUUCUCUCUUAGGUGUACAAAUGAGACUUAAAGCAAAAUUAGUCCAGUAAAAGAACGGGUGCCCUACAAGAAUGUAGGGUGGUCAGGUUGGCUGGGAUGCAUUUAAGGGGUCCUCUCUGAAGAAGGCAUUUUAGAGUGGGAGUCUAAAGAUGGAGAACUUGAGUAGGACCCAGGCAGGAAUAAAGACAAGUGAUUGGCAAGAAGCUAAUUACCAGAGUGGGAUAGCAAGCAAAUCCUCUUUUGUAGGGGGGGGGGGGCAAUGCAAGAGGUUUUAUCUGGAAAACAGAAUGAGCAUUUAUAUAAGGGAGUCAUUUUGGAUUAAACAACAACAACAGAAGAAGAAGAAGAAGAAGAAGAACAACAACAACAACAACAACAACAACAACAACAACAACAACCACCACCACCACCACCACCUCCGGUCUCGCUGUGCAAUUCAGGCAGACUUCCAACGCUCUGCCCCC
rnacentral:lncRNA from 1 species